ACAAGGCCAGGGUGAGGGACAAGGCCAGGGAAGCGGUCAGGGACAGGGCCAGGGACAGGGAAGCGGAGGAGGUUAGGGAAGAAGUCAAGAGAAUAGUCAGGGGUGUGGUCACUGAAGUGGACAUGGGACUUUUGCUUAACGCUUACUGGAGAUCUUUUCAAUUCUGUGUUAAUCCUAUGGCAUGGUUUCCCUGUUUGCUCAAACUGUGUUUUUGAAAGCUUUUCGGUCUGCUCCACCUCAAAUAAAGAAUUGCUUGAUUU